UUCGAUGAUGAAGCGGCACUGGGCUCCGACGGCGUCGAAUAGACGUCCGUUUGUGAUGGAUAUGCCUCUUUGUGGCAGGCCUAGAAAACCUCGCCCACUGAUA
rnacentral:snoRNA from 17 species